AGUGGUUAAGAGCUUGGCUGCUAACCAAAAAACUGGUGGUUCAAAUCCACCAGCUGCUC
rnacentral:tRNA from 1 species